GGAAUAUUGGACAAUGGGGGCAACCCUGAUCCAGCGACGCCGCGUGUGUGAAGAAGGCCUGCGGGUUGUAAAGCACUUUGAGUGGGGAUGAAAAGCACAUCACUAACACUGGUGUGUCUUGACCUAACCCAAAGAAAAAGCACCGGCUAACUCUGUGCCAGCAGCCGCGGUAAUACAGAGGGUGCGAGCGUUAAUCGGAAUUACUGGGCGUAAAGCGUGCGUAGACGGUUAUUUAAGUCGGGUGUGAAAGCCCCGGGCUCAACCUGGGAAUUGCAUUCGAGACUGAAUAGCUAGGGUACGGUAGAGGGAAGCGGAAUUUCCGGUGUAGCGGUGAAAUGCGUAGAUAUCGGGAGGAACAUCCGUGGCGAAGGCGGCUACCUGGACCAGCACUGACACUGAGGCACGAAAGCGUGGGGAGCAAAC
rnacentral:rRNA from 1 species